UCCGGUGUCUACUACUACUGUUGCUGCAGUUCCUCCUCCUACCCCUCAAAAGUUUGCUAUUAGUAGCAUUCCACCACGCCAACCACCAAUGGGUGCCAAACCUAGCCCGCCUCUACCACCACCGCCAGCACUAGCUGGUUCCAGACCAGGUUAUCCUCCACCCCCUCCAGCACUAGCUGUUUCCAGACCUGGUCCUCCUCCUCCACCACCCCCUGCAGCCCCAGCUGGUAUCAGACCUGGUCCUCCUCCACCACCACCCCCUGCAGCCCCAGCUGGUAUCAGACCUGGUCCUCCUCCACCACCACCCCCAGCACCAGGUGGUGCCAAACCUGGUCCCCGCCCACCACCACCUCCUGUGAAUGGUGUAGCUCCUCCUCGACCUCCUCCAUUUGGCUCAAAGGCGCCACGGCCUUUAGCUAGUGGAUCAAAAGCUACAGUUGCAAGUGAAGCUGAUGCUCCCAAAGCCAAGCUAAAGCCC
rnacentral:lncRNA from 1 species